CUUCAUGAGGCACCCCUCACCUCCCAGAAACCCAUUAUACCCCACUCCUCAUCAUCUGCACUCCUAGGCCAGUAGCUGCCCUGAGGGAAGUGAUUAUUUGCCCAUAAUUAUCAUACAGGUCCUGGAAUAACCCAGGUAGGAGAAACUCAACCAUGACUAUAAAAACCUAACUUCUCUCUCCAAGCUCCAAGGGACUUCCUCAUUUCCUCUCCUCUUACCCUCAAAUGCAGAGAUGCCCGUGAACAAAGGAUACUGUACUGGUUCCGAUGCUUUGCAUUCUCCUUCAUUCUCUGUAACUGU
rnacentral:lncRNA from 1 species